UACGGAGGGUGCAAGCGUUAUCCGGAUUCACUGGGUUUAAAGGGUGCGUAGGUGGGCAGGUAAGUCAGUGGUGAAAUCUCUGGGCUUAACCCGGAAACUGCCAUUGAUACUAUUUGUCUUGAAUAUCGUGGAGGUCAGCGGAAUAUGUCAUGUAGCGGUGAAAUGCUUAGAUAUGACAUAGAACACCAAUUGCGAAGGCAGCUGGCUACACGAAUAUUGACACUGAUGCACGAAAGCGUGGGGAGCAAACAGG
rnacentral:rRNA from 1 species